rnacentral:rRNA from 1 species
AAAAACAUGUCUAUAUGAAGUUGUAUAAAGUCUGACCUGCCCAUUGAAUAUUUAAAAGGCCGCGGUAUACUAACUGUGCAAAGGUAGCAUAAUAAUUAGUUUUUUAAUUGAAAGCUUGUAUGAAAGGUUGGACAAAGAAAAAUCUGUCUUUAGUGUUAAUUUUGAAAUUUACAUUUAAGUGAAAAGGCUUAAAUUAAUUUAAGGGACGAUAAGACCCUAUAAAUCUUUACAUUUACUUAUUUUUUAACAAUUUAGAUUACUUAUUAAUUAAAACUUAAGAAAAUGUUUUAUUGGGGUGAUAGAAAUAUAAUAAAAUAACUGUUUUAACAACUAACAAAUAUAAUUGACUAAUAUAAAAGAUCCUUCAUAGAGAUUGUAAGUUUAAGUUACUUUAGGGAUAACAGCGUAAUUUUUUUUGAGAGUUCAUAUCGAAAAAAAAGUUUGCGACCUCGAUGUUGAAUUAAAAUUUCUUUAUCAAUGCAGAAGUUAUAAAGAAGAGUCUGUUCGACUUUUAAAUUUUUACGUGAUCUGAGUUUCCAGACCGG